GACGGAGGAGGCAAGCGUUAUCCGGAAUUAUUGGGCGUAAAGCGUCCGUAGGUGGUUAUUCAAGUCUUUUGUUAAAUAGUGGAGCUCAACUCCAUAGAGGCGGAAGAAACUGAGUAACUUGAGUGCGGUAGGGGUAGAGGGAAUUCCAGGUGUAGCGGUGAAAUGCGUAGAUAUCUGGAAGAACACCAGUGGCGAAGGCGCUCUACUGGGCCGUAACUGACACUGAGGGACGAAAGCGUGGGGAGCGAACAGG
rnacentral:rRNA from 1 species